UUUUGCCGACUGAGGGUUGUAACUCGGAGAAGUAGGGCUGUAGCUCGGUGAAGUUGGGCUGUAACUUGGUGAUGUUGGGCUGUAACCAGGAGAUGUGGGGCUAUAAGCUGGUGAAGUUGGGCUGUAGGAAGGAGAUGUGGGGCUGUAAGAAGGUGAAGUUGGGCUGUAGGAUGGUGAUGUUGGGCUGUAUGAAGGAGAGGUCGGGCUAUAAGAUGGUGAGGUGGGGCUGUAUGCAGGGGAAGUGGGGCUAUAUGCAGGUGAUGUGGGGCUAUAAACAGGAGAGGUUGGACUAUAACUAGGUGAUGUAGGGCUGUAACUGGGCGAAGUGGGGCUGUAGCUGGGAGAUGUAGGGCUAUAAGAUGGAGAAGUAGGGCUAUAAGAUGGGGAAGUGGGGCUAUAGCUGGGAGAAGUGGGUGAAUACGAAGGGCUUGUAGGUGAAUAUGCAGGACUUGUUGGGCUAUAACCAGGAGAACUUGGACUGUAGGUUGGAGAUGUGGGGCUGUAGCCAGGAGAUGUGGGGCUGUAGCCAGGUGAUGUGGGGCUGUAACCAGGUGACGUCGGGCUGUAUCCUGGUGACGAGGGACUGUAUCCAGGAGAAGAAGGGCUGUAUCCCGGAGAUGAAGCAGGCGAGAAGGCCAUACCACCAACAUAGGGUGAAAACUGAGCAUCUGUAGUUGGAGACAGCCGGAGGUUUGGGCU
rnacentral:lncRNA from 1 species